AUACGGAGGAUCCGAGCGUUAUCCGGAUUUAUUGGGUUUAAAGGGAGCGUAGGUGGAUUGUUAAGUCAGUUGUGAAAGCUUGCGGCUCAACCGUAAAAUUGCAGUUGAAACUGGCAGUCUUGAGUACAGUAGAGGUGGGCGGAAUUCGUGGUGUAGCGGUGAAAUGCUUAGAUAUCACGAAGAACUCCGAUUGCGAAGGCAGCUCACUAGACUGUUACUGACACUGAUGCUCGAAAGUGUGGGUAUCAAACAGGAUUAGAUACCCUGGUAGUCCACACAGUAAACGAUGAAUACUCGCUGUUUGCGAUAUACAGUAAGCGGCCAAGCGAAAGCAUUAAGUAUUCCACCUGGGGAGUACGCCGGCAACGGUGAAACUCAAAUGAAUUGACGGGG
rnacentral:rRNA from 1 species